rnacentral:rRNA from 1 species
GUACACACCGCCCGUCGCUACUACCGAUUGGUGGCUUAGUGAGGCUUGGAUUGCCGAGUGAUUGCAGCAAUGUGAACACUUGGCGAGAAGUUGCCCAAACUGGUCAUCUAGAGGAGUAAAAGUCGUAACAAGGUUUCCGUAGGUGAACCUGCAGAGGAUCA